rnacentral:rRNA from 1 species
UACGGGGGGGAGCAAGCGUUGUUCGGAUUUACUGGGCGUAAAGGGCGCGUAGGCGGCCACCGCAAGUCAGUUGUGAAAUCUCUGGGCUUAACCCAGAAAGGUCAACUGAUACUGCGGGGCUAGAGUGCAGAAGGGGCAAUCGGAAUUCUUGGUGUAGCGGUGAAAUGCGUAGAUAUCGAGAGGAACACCUGCGGCGAGGCGGGUUGCUGGGCUGACACUGACGCUGAGGCGCGAAAGCUAGGGGAGCGAACGGG